CAAUAGCGUAUAUUUAAGUUGUUGCAGUUAAAAAGCUCGUAGUUGGAUUUCUGCUGAUCGCUGUCGGUCUGCCGUCAGGUGUGUACUGGCAGUGUUUGGCAUCUAUUCGAGAUUGGGUGUCCACUUGAUUGUGUGCACUCGAUGUCGGAGCUAAUACUUUGAGAAAAUUAGCGUGUUCCACGCAGGCGCGUGCCUUGAAUACUGCAGCAUGGGAUAUUGGAAGGCCGAUUGAGCUUUCUUGUUGGUUCUCGGUUUGAUCGGAAUGAUUAAUAGGGAUAGUUGGGGGCAUUCGUAUUCAACUGUCAGAGGUGAAAUUCUUGGAUUUGUUGAAGACGGACUACUGCGAAAGCAUCUGCCAUGGAUGUUCUCAUUGA
rnacentral:rRNA from 1 species